rnacentral:pre_miRNA from 1 species
AAGGGGAGCGCCGGAUCCUGGACUGUGUCCCUAGGCACCCUGGGUUCCGGGGCCAGCGCCGCUGAAAUCCCGCUUCCAGGCCGCACAGCCCCCU